rnacentral:rRNA from 1 species
GGGCUACCACAUCUAAGGAAGGCAGCAGGCGCGCAAAUUACCCACUCUCAGAACGAGGAGGUAGUGAAUUUAAAUAGCGAUGAUGAACUCUUAUGAGGCUCGUCAAUCGAAAUGAGUACAAUUUAAAUCCUUUAACGAGUACCAAUUGGAGGGCAAGUCUGGUGCCAGCAGCCGCGGUAAUUCCAGCUCCAAUAGCGAAUAUUAAAUUUGUUGCAGUUAAAAAGCUCGUAGUUGUAUCCAAGGUUAGGCAUGCCUGUCUGUUCUUAGUAGCAUGACUGUGUGUGUCUGCCUUUAUUAGUUGAAUGUUCAUUAUGGUGGUCUUCAUCGACUGCUAUGAUGUGCUCAACACGUUUACCUUGAAAAAAUCAGAGCGAUCAAGGCAGGCCUUCGUGCUUGUAUGUUGUUGCAAGGAAUAAUAGAAUAGGACUUCGGUUCUAUUUUGUUGGUUUUGAGAAUUGAAGUAAUGAACAAUAGAGACAGUCGGGGGCAUUUGUAUGGUGGCGUUAGAGGUGAAAUUCUGAGAUCGUCGCCAGACAAACUACUGCGAAAGCAUUUGCCAAGGAUGUCUUCAUUAAUCAAGAACGAAAGUCAGAGGUUCGAAGACGAUCAGAUACCGUCCUAGUUCUGACCAUAAACGAUGCCGACCUACAAUCGGGGGUGGUUUAUUAUAUUGACCCUCCCGGCUGUCCUCAGGAAACUUUAGUUGGUUCUGGGGGGAAUAUGGUCUCAAGACUGAAACUUAAAGGAAUUGACGGAAGGGCACCACCAGGAGUGGAGCCUGCGGCUUAAUUUGACUCAACACGGGGAAUCUCACCCGGUCCGGACACUGGUAGGAUGGACAGAUUGAUAGCUCUUUCUUGAUUCAGUGGGUGGUGGUGCAUGGCCGUUCUUAGUUGGUGGAGUGAUUUGUCUGGUUAAUUCCGAUAACGAACGAGACUCUGUCCUGCUAAAUAGUCCAGUGGCAUCAAUCACUAUGUGAUUACAGCUGCUGUUACUUCUUAGAGGGAUUCGCGGAUUUAAACCGCAAGAAAUAGAGCAAUAACAGGUCUGUGAUGCCCUUAGAUGUCCGGGGCCGCACGCGCGCUACAUUGACAGUAGAAGCGAGUAUUUCUACCUGGUUCGAAAGAAUUGGGAAAUCUUCGAAUUACUGUCUCCACAGGGAUUGAGGUUUGCAAUUUUGCCUCAUGAACGAGGAAUUCCCAGUAGGCGCAAGUCAUCAGCUUGCGUCGAUUACGUCCCUGCCCUUUGUACACACCGCCCGUCGCUACUACCGAUUGAGUGCAUUAGUGAGGACCUCGGAUUGAGAACAUAGUGGCGCAAGUUACUUUGUUUUCGAAAAGUGGUUCAAAUUUGUGCAUUUAGAGAUAGUAAAAGUCGUAACAAGGUU